CCUACGGGAGGCAGCAGUGGGGAAUUUUGGACAAUGGGCGCAAGCCUGAUCCAGCAAUGCCGCGUGAGUGAAGAAGGCCUUCGGGUUGUAAAGCUCUUUUGUCAGGGAAGAAACGGCAGUUUCUAAUACAGAUUGCUAAUGACGGUACCUGAAGAAUAAGCACCGGCUAACUACGUGCCAGCAGCCGCGGUAAUACGUAGGGUGCAAGCGUUAAUCGGAAUUACUGGGCGUAAAGCGUGCGCAGGCGGUUUUGUAAGUUUGUCGUGAAAUCCCCGGGCUCAACCUGGGAAUGGCGAUGAAGACUGCAAGGCUAGAAUCUGGCAGAGGGGGGUAGAAUUCCACGUGUAGCAGUGAAAUGCGUAGAGAUGUGGAGGAACACCGAUGGCGAAGGCAGCCCCCUGGGUCAAGAUUGACGCUCAUGCACGAAAGCGUGGGGAGCAAACAGGAUUAGAUACCCUGGUAGUCCACGCCCUAAACGAUGUCUACUAGUUGUCGGGUUUUAAUUAACGUUAGGUAACGCAGCUAACGCGUAGAAGUACGACCGCGUGGGGAGUACGGUCGCAAGUAUUAAAACCUUAAGUGAAGUUGAGCGUGAGAGUAGCGACGGACGACGACGAGGGAGGAGG
rnacentral:rRNA from 1 species